CGUUGUUACAUCGCGCACACACACACACACACACACACACACACACAGAGAGAGAGAAAUAUGCUCCCUUGAAUUAACAUGACAUUCUUAGGCAUGUCUUCCCCUCUAUUUGCCGUCUGUCUGUUAUUGUUAAAGGGCCAACAUUCCGAAGUAUCCCUUUAUCUACUCCUCAACGUCAGAUGAACUCAUGCAUCCAGUAUGAAGGAAGUUAGAGAUUAGAGAGUCAGAGAGUUUUUAGUGAGCCAAUGCUAACGAGCGUUAGUGCAAUGACUGAAAGUCUAUAGUAUCUAGUAGCAUGCUAACAGUUACCAUAGACGUCCAGUCAUUGUGCUAAUGCUAGUUAGCAACUUCCUUCAAAUUGCACGCAGAGACAUAAAAAUGGUAUCCACGACCAUGAGUUCAUCUGACUCUGAGGAAGUAGAAUCCUGAAAUUAAGACGUUUGUGGUGGUGAGGCAUUUGAAAGGGCCUAAUGAAUUGGCCAUUAAUGGGUCUUCGAUGGGCUGGGUUAAUGAGGUCACUUGUUUCAUCUCACCACCCUACAGGCAACAGGGUUCCGUGGUAAUGGCCUAGUCACAGCACCUUGACAUGUGGCAGCAACUGAGGGAUCAGGGGUCACAAAUGCAGUCCUACUGGUGAGGAAGGGUUCCAGCAGUGACUUACAGGAGAGGAGGGCUCAUAGGUUCUCAUAUAGAGAUGUGAAUCCCCAUGGUGACAGGAGAAAAACACCAGAGAGCACUGCAGAUGGAUGAGUUACACAUCACAAAGAGGAGGAGACAGAAUGACAGACUGCAGGCGCCAUCUGGGAGCGAGACGUGCAUUACAGGAGCUAUCCAUAUGGUCGGGGCAUCAUGACUUUGCUCAUCUCAUCUCCCGUCAACAUCUCUUUCUGCUUAAGUCCUCUCUCAAAUUAUCCACAUACACAUUCUUAACAGAAAGACAACAACAUGCAUGUGUUUAUGUAUUUUUGCAGAGAUUAUACGAAUUUACACAUAUCAGUCGGUAUUAGAUUAAAAUGUUAAACUCAUGUCUUCAAUACUCUUAAAAUGUACAUUUCUUCAUUAAUCAGGUGCCAUAGAUCGACUCUUCAUACUAUCUGAUUAUAACACAUUUAUUAUAAUACAGAAAAUGAUUUGCCACCUCAAUAUCAUCCCCACCCCCAGUCGUUGUUCAGUGUCGGGAGCUGGGGGCUUUUUUAGACCCAUCUGCUGUCUCGCACCUUCUAAUCUGCACCCCCCCCCCCCCCCCCAGAACCCAACUGCACCGUACUCCUCAUCCUGUCCCCAUCCUACCCACCCAUCACCCAGUGCAUAAUAUAUUCCCCCUGUAACCAAAUACUACAGCUCACAUUGUAUUAAGCCACAUUGCAUAUGCUUAUAACACGCACAGUGAUGUUUACAGACCUGUCAUCUGGAAUGUACUGUAGGCUAGAUGUAAGAUAAGUGUAUCUAUGUAUAUUUAGAAAUAAAGAGUGUCGAUAUUAAAUCAGUAUAAACCUCUGUGUGUUUACUAAUUAGGACAAAUUCUUAUUCUACUCAAAAUAAACACUUAUUCGUCCCAAUUACUUUUUUAUUGUCAUCUGUUUUGUUGAUCAGCUUUCUUUAUGUUUACAAGUGGAAAACAUUUUCUGUCCA
rnacentral:lncRNA from 8 species